GAUUAUUUAGUUUAACAAAAACCGAUGUUUUGAAAGCAUAAGAUAAGAACUACCGUUUCUUAAUAAUCG
rnacentral:tRNA from 1 species